rnacentral:lncRNA from 1 species
UUCACAUCAAUUGAGCUGGAUUUCUCCUCGAUAAAAAUCGAAUGAAACUUCACAAAUAUUCAAAAUAUAAGAAAGAUUUAUUAAAUGAAGAGUUUAACUAGUCGCAAGGCAUUUUGUGAACUUUAAUACGUUUUGAGCAAGGGUAAGAGUGGGACAGUUCCCAGGGCCGUUCCUUUCUCACGCCAGCUGCGUACGUAAUAGCCUUGCAGCAUUGAACUGCUCACCCGCGGCCAUUGCAUGGCUGAUUUUCAAUGGCACUGGACCCUUAGCGGACUAAAACCCGUAUGGUCGUUGUACGAUUCCGUGUGUGGCUCGUUAUUCAUGGCAUUUCUGGCUACUCAAAAUGUUCUCUAACUCUGGCUCUAAUUCUUCUUUUUGUUGAGUACGAAUAGUACAUGCUAUGUAAAUUAUAUUUAACAUUUUUAAAAAAAAUGCAGAUGAGAUAUGAAGAUUAUACAACUCUGAUUAAAAAUGCAAAAGUUAACAUACGAAUUCCUUCAUCUAUCCCUGAUAUUUUUGUAUGUGUCUUAUUCCCGUGAAAUAAAUAUGCACAAGGCGGCAAAUCGUUUAGUGACCUUUCAUACCUGGAUAAAAAUAUAGAGCUUAGAGUUAGAAAAUUAGCUAUUUUCUUCCAUUAUUUGUUUUGCUUUUUUACUUAAACUUUUAAAAUUAAUAAAGUUUGUUUAAUCACUUUUAUCUUUAAACGCCUGCACCCAGCUGUCUAGAAUUAUUGUAAAAUAAAUUAUUAACCAUCAUACAAUUAUUACCAGUUGUUGUCGAAAAAAGAGACUAUUAAAGUUAAUUUGUCUGAAUUGAUGCAUCCAUGCAACCCAAUCAUGUAAAUGGGCUAUCUAUAUGAGGUUCUUUCCUUCACCAUUGGGAACAGAAUCCUUAUGCUGCACUUUCUCAGAUAUUCUUUUGAUUACCUGUGGAAAGUUUGGACAAGUCGUUUAAGCUGGCGUAAAAAGUUCUCAAAUGGAGAUCGAGUGUCAUGGAUCAGUCCGUGCCUCCAGUGUUUUUCAGACUUUUAACCCUUUUGUGACUCACGGACUAACAGUGGUAUGUUGAAUGUAUAUGGUUGAAUGGAUAAAAACAUAGGAAAGGGUUAACUGUGUUAAGUGCGGUACUGACCCGUUUUGGGAUUAACCUCGCCUAGACGAGGUUUUAAUCGUAUGGGCGGAUUUAACUGGAGCUAUUCUGGGUAAAGAAGAAUCGCCUGCCAGGACCAUUCCGUGAUCGACGUGAUUUUGGUUCAGCACCCAGCAGCACGUGCGUUAGGAGUCCGGCCGUGACGUCUUACCAACCAAGGGCCAUAACCCCUAAUAAUGGCACGUGACUUUUAGCCAAUGGUGUACGUGAUCGGAACUGCGCGCCAUUUGCAAAGUUAUGUUUCUACACUUUUCGCAACAGGAAUUAUAAUUAAGCGUCUUCAGCCGUCAAUUCCAAUACUGAUACAUGUGUUGGACUCUUCAAUAACAAUAGCUGGCUGCUGGCAUUUAAAGAUGAAAGUGGUCACAGGAUGUGCAACUGGCCA